rnacentral:tRNA from 1 species
GUGAGUAUAGCUCAGUGGUAGAGCAUUCGGCUGCUGAUCGAGUGGUCUCCGGUUCAAACCCGGGUAUCCUAUU